UACGUAGGGUGCGAGCGUUGUCCGGAAUUAUUGGGCGUAAAGGGCUCGUAGGCGGUCUGUUACGUCGGGAGUGAAAACUCGGGGCUAAACCCCGAGCCUGCUUCCGAUACGGGCAGACUAGAGGUAUGCAGGGGAGAAUGGAAUUCCUGGUGUAGCGGUGAAAUGCGCAGAUAUCAGGAGGAACACCGGUGGCGAAGGCGGUUCUCUGGGCAUUACCUGACGCUGAGGAGCGAAAGUGUGGGGAGCGAACAGG
rnacentral:rRNA from 1 species